UACGGAGGGGGCAAGCGUUGUUCGGAAUUACUGGGCGUAAAGGGCGCGCAGGCGGCUGCUCAAGUCAGGCGUGAAAGGCCUGGGCUCAACCCCGGGAAUUGCGCUUGAGACUGGGCUGGCUUGAGUGCGGGAGAGGAUGGUGGAAUUCCCAGUGUAGAGGUGAAAUUCGUAGAUAUUGGGGAAGAACACCGGUGGCGAAGGCGGCCAUCUGGACCGCAACUGACGCUGAGGCGCGAAAAGCUAGGGGGAGCAAACAGG
rnacentral:rRNA from 1 species